UUACUCUUGUGGAUAUAAACUCUUCUACUUUCGUCGUAGAUUCAAGGAAGCUUUUGUGGAUUUCUAGGUUUUCUUUCCUUCACUUGUUGUUGGGUGAUUUUUCGUUUUAGUCCAAGGAACCGGAACCAUCUUGUUAUGAGAAAUAAUUGAUUUUUAUUUUCCACAUUAACUGGACACUUCGAUGAUAAGUUUUUUACCUUUUCCAGAUGUUGUACUAGCUACAAAUGUUCGGGAUUUAUUCAAGGUCUAUAGCAGUAACUAGUAGAUGCCCACCAUUAUACUAAAAACAAGACCCCUUUGAAAAUUUCUAGUUUUAUGAUGAGCUGUCUUCAAGGUUUAUGUGUAAAUGUAUGGAUUAAUUGAAAUUAGAUAAGUAUGUUUUGCUACUUGGUAUGAGUAUGCAAUUGAACUUCUUAACUCUAUUGUUGCAAGUCCUCGUGCCUCUCUUGCCAUUUCCUUUAUAUUCUGAUUUUUUGAUUUUAAAUAAGUCAUCUACUUCAGGAAGAAAAUUAUAGGCUGAAUGCAGACUUCAAAGAGCGAAAUGCCUACGUUGAGAGCUGCAGAGCUGAAAUCGUUAUUUUCUAGUCUCAUGAAGGAUUCAAUAGUCAUAAAGCAUAGAGAAACAAGCUACAAGAAGCAUGUAUCCUUUUCUCUUUCUAUUUUGGUCAGGCUUAUUGAAAGGGCAUAGUUUGACUAGACUUUUCUGCUUUUGUAGAUCAUGGUGAAAAAGGAAAGUGAACUUAUUGUUGAAUUUGAUAAGCUAAGACCACAAGUGUUCUUAUUCCUCUGUCGUUGGGUCCUAUUUAUAGGAAAAAUCUCUUGUAGAUGUCACUAAUCAAAUAGUGAGCUUAAAGCCACUGUGACCACGAAACAAGGUGAGGUGGGCACAGAGCUCAUUGAUCACUUAACACCACAGGAAAAACAUGAACUAUCCCAGCUAAACUAAGAAAUAAAAGAUCUUAAAGAGGAGCUUAUUAAAUUUAGAACAGAUCGCAUCGAGGUAAGAUAUCUCAACCUUGUGAGAAGCAACUGUACUUAUCCUUAACAGGUAUUUGUUCUGUUUCACAUGAAGCUUUUGUGGCCUUCCAAGCUACUUCCAUAUUUAUGAUCUGCUUUCUGAUAGGCCUCUUGCUUGCUGUCAUGCAUGCCUAUAUGCUAAUGGGUGUAUGGUAAUACAUUGCCCCAAAAGUUUCUGUAUAUUUGUUGCUAAUUGAGGUGGGUGACUUUUUGGAAGAAAAUAGUUUAUUAUCGUUUAUUAUUGCCACCUGUUGCACUAGAGGUGAUAGAUUGAUGUUGCACUGAUGUGUCUUGGCCUCAAACCCUAGAAAAAUAAUAUUACUUGUCACUGAAAAACGAGUAAAUAAAAAGAAACGAAUUAUUCCUCAUGCUUUUACAAUGUCUAUCUGCUAUUUGUGAUUUAUUAAGAUACAUUUUGAGUAUUAACAUUAGUUUUUGUUACUAUGAAGGCAAAGGUGAUGGUACAAAUGCAGAAUCUGGAGCACAUGAAGAAGAUUUUCUCAUCCAGGAUGAGAUUUCUAAAUCUUGUCUAGUGAACGUGUAGCGUGUAAGUCAUUCUUUAUGGAGAUGCUGCAUUUUGCAAGUAUUGCAAAAGUUGCAAGUGCUCCAUUAUACAUGCAUCCCUUGUUAUUGAAUUGUUGAUUAUCUGUAGGAGGAAGAGACAAUUUUGCAUGAGAGAGACGGCUAUAAACUGGAAGAGGGACGUCUUAUACGUGAAUUGAAAAGGAUACGAGAUGAGGAUGAUUCAAGUUUUAAUAAUUUUCAGAUUUUAAAUCAUCAAUAUGCCCUUUUAAACCUUCUUGGGCAAGGAGGAUUUAGUAAGGUUUACAAGGUCCGAACUUCGGCAAGUAGUUUCAAUUGAUAAUAGAAAGUAGUUUCAUUUGAUAAUAGAAACACUAACCUUUGCUUGUUUGAUGAAAAUUCUUAUAUACCAUGACAAGAGUAUAGAUCAUUCUGUUGCCAAUAUUGACAAUUGUAAAAGCACAUCCUUUUGCAGUGAUUUGAAGUGAGAAAUUUCCGGCAGGCUUAUGAUUUGGUCGAGCAUAGGAAGGUGCAGGGCAUCAUGUUUUAUCUGCUUUUGUUGAGAUUGUGUUGAUAAUUCCGACAAUCACAUCCCGGUAUAAGUGGAGUUUGAAAGAGUUGCAUAAAAUGCUUCAUUGGUGCAAUGAGCAUUUCAACAGUUCAGCCAUGUAAACAAGAAGGCACUAGAGAUCAACAUGUAAAUCUCACUAUGAAACAGGAGGAACUUUAGACAAGGCAAGCUGAACUUGAGGCAAGUGACAAGGAUGAUGCUAUGAUUUAACGUGUGCUAUGCUUGUUUCCUCACUCUUGUGGAUAUCAACAUUCUACUUUCGUUGUAGAUUCAAGGAAGCUGCUUGUGGAUUUCUAGGUUCUUUGUCUGCUUGGCUUCUUGGAUUAGUUCAGGUAUUCCUCACUUGGCUUCUUGCAUCAUUCUUAUAACAACCCGUGACAUCAUGCAGUACAACGGAGCGUGAAAAGCAGCUGAGCAUCCUUUAUCAAAAAACAAGGUCGGACAACCCCUUUUCUAGCAAAGCUACUCGUGACAAAAGGCUGAAAAAGGAAAAUGAUGAUUUACAACGUCUUUUUUCUUCAAAUUUGGCACAGGCAAGAGUUCAGAUUAGUCUAUUCUGAUACUUUAACAUCAAUGCGGAUGUAUGAUGGUGUUGUCAGAAUCUUCCUAUAGGCGAUAUCUAUGCUGAAAUCCUAAAAGAUGAUGUUUUGGUCUUGCCUCUACAUGUACUUGGUGCAAUGAGCAACUUCAGUAGUUCAGCCAUGUAAACAAGAAGACACUACAUCAAAAUGUAAAUAUCACUGAGAAACAGGAGGAACUCUAGAAAAGGCUUGAGGCAAGUGACAAAGGACUAUGAUGUUGAUCACGAAGAUGAUAAUUGUGACGAUGAUGGACGUCAUGAAGCAAAUCUGGAGGGAAAUAUGUUACUCUGAAAAUGAAGGUUGCCGAACUAUGCUAGUUGCUUAUGACUGUAGUUGGUUGAUGGUUGUGAGAGAAAAACAAAAGGAAUUGAAGGAUCUGAAUUUAGUUUAAGAGCAUUUCUAGGUUUUUUUUUGUUGCUCAAUUUUGUGGUUUGGUUUAAUCUGUUGUUUUUUUUUCUAGUGGUGUCCUGCUUUCAGGAAUAUCAUAUGUCGGGUAUCCCAUUGGUAAUAUUUUUUUUGUUUGCGUACCAUGUUCCAAGUUUGAGGGUUCACUUGGAUUAGGCUAAUGGCAGUUGGGUUUCUUGAAUAUCUUAUGUAUUCUUUUCUCGACAAGGAAACAUUAUCAUUAAUAUCUUAUGUUUUGUAGGUCAAGUUGUUGAAUUGCUGCAUUCAUUAGGGAAAAGUGGGAGGGGCUUGGUUAUUAUGUGCUUGAAAAGUGUAUUGUGUAGAACUGCUAAGAGAGUGUUUGGUGUGUAAGGAUUUUCUUAUCCAAAACAUGGAUAGCGCAACCCCAUACACCGAGCCCUUUUCAGUUCGAAAAUUAAUUAUGUUGGUAAGUUUGUUUUUCA